rnacentral:misc_RNA from 1 species
AGGUUGGUUGCUUGCUAGCUCGGCGGCUCGUUCGUUUUCGUUUCAUUUCAUUUCGUUCGAAUUCAAGGCGGUGCUAUUCAUCGUAGUUGUCCUUCACAGAUUUUGUUACCUUUCAUCGCUUUAUCUUUAAAAAUACUUUCGUUUUAAAUACGUCACGAAGCAGCGAUUACAAUUAAUAUUCAUUGAGAGUGAUUGUGUUAAAAACAUGUCGUUUAUCGUGCUGUGAUUCGGUGUUUUUAUUCAGUCACCAAUUAUCAAGUCCAAAGUGCGUGUUGUUUUAAAUUAAUAUUUAGUGUUUGUGAUUAACUUAAACGUGCCAAAAAUGUCUUUGGAAGAUAAAUUCAACGCUGCGGUGAAUGUGAUCCGGAGUUUACCAAAGAGCGGGUCAUACCAGCCGAGCAAUGAGUUGAUGCUGCGUUUCUACAGCUACUUCAAACAAGCCACAGAAGGUCCGUGUGAUAAGCCUAAGCCUGGUUUCUGGGAUGUAGUCAACAGAGCAAAAUGGGAAUCAUGGAACAAAUUAGGCAAUAUGACAAAGGACGAGGCGAUGAAGGCAUACGUCGACGAAUUACAUAAGAUAGUAGAAACGAUGUCAUACAACUCAGAUGUGGCUUCGUUUCUGUCGGUGGACGAUGAGGACCCGAACUUCCCGAACAAUGAUCUGGAGCUGGUGGCAGGAGAUGUCCUGGCCAGGGUCAGGUCUGGACAGAAUACCCCUGUGUUAUCGGGCGCGUCGUCCCCAGUCCGCAGCGCGUCGCCGCCGCGACAGCGACACGACUCGGACGAUGAGUUUAUCGAUACAGUAGAUAGCGAGCCGGAAGCGCCGCCGCCGCGGCAGACGGCGCCGCGACUCAGCAACGGACACGCGCACCAGAUCACCUCACAGCUUACACACUUGAAGGUGCUGGAACAGCUCCCAGGCACAUUGGCGCGGCUGGAAGCCGACGUGGCCGCGCUACGUAAAGCUGUGGAAGGUGACCGCAGGAUACUAGACCAAGUACAGCGUGGUUGGCGCUGGCCGUGGCAGGAGCUGAGCUGGGGCACCCUGGCGCUGGUGCUGCUGUGGCCUGUUGUAGCUCACCGGCUGCUGCAGGCGAGGUCCCGCAGGCAUACAUAACGUCCUCAAGGCAGUACACCAAUAGUAGUAAGACUUCACUCGAUGUCGACACUGACCGCUCACACAUCGGCUAUUGUUGACAAUAACCGCGCUCGUGGCUAAACUAUGUAGAUAACUAAGGGCGGGUCUAGACGGGCUGCAUUUUUGUUUGCAAAAUAUUGCCUGUCCAUUACAAAAAUAUGUUAUGGACACUAAUGUCCGAGCAAUAUAUGGCUAAGCCAUGUGUUGCAAUAGGGUAGCUGAUGCUUAAACGGCCUUACAUAGCCAUACCGAAAAUGUUCGUCAAAUAUUGUCGGUACAUUAUUUUGUAUGUCUCUACGAAACUACGGGACUAUAAUGUCUCAGAUUCUUGGGAGCAACACGCUGAACCCCCUUUGAGACUACUUUAAUGAAAUGGUGACACAAAACCGACGAUUAUCCCUGUAUACACUAUAGAAAUGUAUUAUUGUAUUAUUAAUGUUGUCCACAUAUUGCACAAAAAUGUAGCCCGUCUAGGACUCGCCCUUACUACGACCAUUUUGCACUUUCGCCGCAACAUAUUUUAAUGUGAUUUUUUUUUACUAAAAAAAAUUCUUUCGCACUUUUUUUCGGAAUUUAUGUGAAUAGUUACUGUUUUCUUUUUUUCAUUUAUUUUCUGUUGAAUUUGAACUUGUCACAGUAAAAUAUAUUGUGGUGUAUAUGUUAAUAAAUAAAUAUUAUGUUUGUCUGGGUUGGUCCGCUAUUUUAUGUAAAAUGGUAUGUUCAUAGGAAAAUAUCGUUUUAAAUCACAAAUAUUGCAUUUUUAAUGUUUUAAUGAAAGCUUGUAUGAUUUCUUACAUGGGUACUGGUCUUGUUAUAUUAAAAAAUUAACUUGGAAUUUACAGUAAAAUUCUAGGUACAUCUAAUAUAUCUUUUGCGCUUACUCAGCUUAUACCACAUAAAAUGGAUGUGAUAUAUAAAUAAAUAUAUGUUAGUCUCUCGGGUUUACCUAUAUUUAUAUUAGGUUUUUUUACCACAAGUAAUUUUAAUGAGGUUUAGCUUUACUUAGAAUUGAAUGAGGCGAAGACAGAUAAACUACUUUUUAAUAAUUAUAUCUUAAUGGUGAUUUUUAUGGCACAAAAUUUAUCCAGUUCUAUACAACAAUAAUAAAAAAAUAAUUGGUUAUUUCUCAUAUCUCACUUCAUAAAAUAUUAUAAUUGCUCAAAUUUAAAAAAAAAAAACAAAUAUUAUGUUUUUGAUUGCUUUAAAUUGAAGUAAAACAAAAUACGACCAACUCGCUCGCAUUCAAAGAAUUUAACACAUUGUUACCUAUAUUUUUAGUUUAAAAAAGGUUUUUUAAUUUCAUAAUUAUAAUUAUUAAUUAAUAUAUUUGUUUUAAGCGGUACUUUAGUUGUUUGUUGGUAAUUUUUAUGUGAUAUCUAGGUUAAGGUAAAUAUGCGUAUAAGUCAGCAUUGUAAUUAUUUGAGUUUUUUUCUCUUAUUCAAUCUAGAAUUUUAUUUAUUAAAUAAAUACACUAUCAAUAUUUACAAGUGAACUUUACUCACAAGUGAAUGAAUUUUAUAUUAUCUCUCAACAAAUUCUGAUACAAUUUGGUUUCCCAAUGAAUUCUUUUUCUCGAAAACGAAUGUAUUUGAUUAUCAAAACUAUCAAAAAUGUAAAUACUUAAUAUUUUCUAUUAUUUUUGCUGUGCUGAAUUCGCAUAUAUUGAUAUAAUAGUAAUGAAUUAAUUUGGUACAGAUACUCCACCUUGAGAGCUAAGUCAAAUGUAAUUACAUAUUAUAGAAUAUAAAUAGAUCGACCUUUGAACCCCCAUACGGAAAUAAACAUAGGUUCUGAAAAACUGUUUUAUUCCACGACGUUUUAAAAUUAUAAUGUCCAAGAAUUAAAUUCAAGUCAUCUAUAAAAUUGAUACUACAAAUAAACUGCAGUUUUUUAACAAUAUCUGUCAAACUGUUUUUUAACCGCAUUAACAUGCUUGGACUCAUAUUUCUUGGAAUAAAACAGUUUUUGAAAAUCUGAAUUAUAUCAUCGUAAGUGAUUAUACCACGUUUUUGUAACAAAAGUCUUUAAAAUAGUAAUUAUAAUAAACUUGGGUAUAUUUUCAAAUAAUAGACAUUCACAACUAUGGAUGAGAUGGAAAAAUAAACAAAGUUUUGGAGUCGUAUCUUCACUUAAACAGUAACAAUUACUUUCGUCAUAGAUAACCCAUAAAAUAAUGAAUGUUGUAGAAAAUGUACUCAUUACAGGAAUUUGGAACUUUGGUAGAUUCUGAACUUUUUCUACCAUUGUUUCAAAAUCCAUGUCCGUUGUAAAUUGAUGUCUAAAAUAUUGUAAUAAUAUCAAGCACUGUCGAUACUGAAUUAUGUUUGAACAUUUAUUUGUUAUUGUAAUUAUGAAAUAAAGGGGAUUUUUUACUGAA